AUUGAACGCUAGCGGCAGGCUUAACACAUGCAAGUCGAGCGAGCGGCGGACGGGUGAGUAAUGUCUGGGAAAGUGCCUGGUGGAGGGGGAUAACUACUGGAAACGGUGGCUAAUACCGCAUACCAUCAGAGGGGCCCAUCUGGGAUUAGCUAGUAGGGGGGGUAAUGGCUCACCUAGGCGACGAUCCCUAGCUGGUCUGAGAGGAUGACCAGCCACACUGGUACUGAGACACGGCCCAGACUCCUACGGGAGGCAGCAGUGGGGAAUUUUGCACAAUGGGCGAAACCCUGAUGCAGCCAGCCCGCGUGUGUGAAGAAGGCCUUCGGGUUGUAAAGCACUUUGAGCGAGGAGGCGGUACUUGCAGAAGAAGCACCGGCUAACUCCGUGCCAGCAGCCGCGGUAAUUC
rnacentral:rRNA from 1 species